rnacentral:rRNA from 1 species
GACGAACGCUGGCGGCACGCCUAACACAUGCAAGUCGAACGGACUUAAAAGAGCUUGCUUUUUUAAGUUAGUGGCGGACGGGUGAGUAACACGUGAGCAACCUGCCUCUGAGAGGGGGAUAGCUUCUGGAAACGGAUGGUAAUACCCCAUAAAAUAUAAAUAUCGCAUGAUAGAUAUAUCAAAGAAAUUCGCUCAGGGAUGGGCUCGCGUCUGAUUAGGUAGUUGGUGAGGUAACGGCUCACCAAGUCGACGAUCAGUAGCCGGACUGAGAGGUUGAACGGCCACAUUGGGACUGAGACACGGCCCAGACUCCUACGGGAGGCAGCAGUGGGGAAUAUUGCACAAUGGAGGGAACUCUGAUGCAGCGAUGCCGCGUGGAGGAAGAAGGUCUUCGGAUUGUAAACUCCUUUUAUCAGGGACGAUAAUGACGGUACCUGAAGAAAAAGCUCCGGCUAACUACGUG